AAGAACCUGGGGGCUAAGGGUGGGAGGGACGCCGGGGAAAUAGAAUCCUCCCAGAGUUGGGGGUGGGGUUGGGUUGGACUCCGCCCUAUUUUGAGAGGCGGGGCCAUCUAGAGGCGGGGCUUCCAGGCCGGGAGGUGGAGGGUUUUCACUGAGGCUGAGCAGGCUGACCUGCCUCCUCGUCCCCACCUUCGGGUGAGAGAAGGAGGCAGCGGUCUGGGGUGGCAGGGCAGACUGGGCAGGGGCGAGAAGGCCCUGUUGAGGGUAGAGGACUCCGGAGUCCUGGCCUGGAAACAGCAGGCUCUGGGGAGCCUUGGCGGUGGCUGCAUCGGGGUGCCGAGGAAGAAGAGGAGGAGGAAGAGGAGGCACCGGCUAAUGCUGCGAGGAGGUGCAGGGGCUGAUGCAGCGCCUGGAGGAAGGGAGGUUGCGGAUGGACGAGCCCCCGGAACCGGAGAGGGAGGAGAGGCUGCUGGCGCUGCUGGGCCUGGUAGGCACAGCACUCAACCUGCUGGUCCUCGUCUGUGUCUACGUCUACACCACUCUCUGAGCUGAUGUCACCUACUGGGGGCGGGGCCCGGGAAAACUCUCUAAUGUUUUCCAUAGAGUCUAUGGAGCUGGAGGCGGGGCCUGUACAUCUCCUGAAGACUGGGACUGCAUGGAGGGGGCGGGGCCGGGGAGUAGGGGUGGGACUUGGAACCGCUUUCUGAGGAAAGGGCCACUAGUGGCGGGAGGCGGAUCCUGGAGAGACGGGGAGGGAGCCUUCAGGAGGGGGGGGCAGACCCACCUAGGGAGGGCAGAACUCCUGGAACCCGAGCGGGGGCCGAUUUUAGUCUCGGAAGGUGGGGCUAGAUGAAGGGAGGAGGAGCAGGUGAGGAGGGAGCCGGCUCCUUUGGUGCUAGUCCAGACUCGGCACACCCUACUGAGGGCAGAAUGAAGGAAGUCCUACGGACUCUAGCUGCCUUGACCCGAGAGCUUCCCACAUGGAGACUUAGUGAGGAGGGAGGACGGUCUUGGCUCCAAACACUUCAAUGCAGAAGCUGUCAGCUAGUCUACACCAGCGUGGAAGCAGAUUCCCAGCUCAGCAGGGUUACCUCUCUCUCCGAAGUCCCUGCGGGGCAGAAAUCCUGCGUGGGGCCCUGGAGAGCUCUAAAUUCGACUGCCAGAGGGUUUUGCCUCUCUCCAGAAUUUGAGCUUGGAGGUGGGGAGGAUGGAGUCCCUUUUCCCGAGAAUCCCUCUUGGAGUCUGGGGUGGGAUCACUUGGCAUUCUCUUUUGUACUACCGAAUUUAAAAUAAACCCGCCCUUGGCCAUGGGA